GUUCACUGGUGUGGAAUUUUCAAACAAUGUUUAAAAAUAGCUCAAAACAGUACGAAAAUGUUCUAUUUCCGCCGAUCUGUCAAAAAAAAAGGAUUUUAACUGUAGAAGAUACAUACCAUUUGAUACCGUGUGUACAACAAAAACCGAAGAUGAAAGAUUGACAACAAAGUGUCAUGGUCUUGAUGGAAUAUGCUCACAGUGCUCCUCAGACCUCUUAGACAUAUAUUUAAUAAUGGCCACUGAGUCAUCCAAGGUUUCAGACAUCUAGAAUAUGCUCAUGGUCAGUCUUCAAGAUACUCACCCAAGCAUUCCAAUGUGAAUAAGGAUACUGUGACAAAACAGUACUUACCAACAUCCACUGAAGAUACCAGACCAAGCAGACUUUAAGCUACAUAUAUAUAGACACAGACAAUACAAUUCAUUGCAUAUUCCAACACAGCAUAAAAUUUCAAACUGUUUCAUAGGCAGUGAGGCAUUUGUGCUAACCUCAUAAGUUGAAAUGAUUUUUCUUUUAAGUUUGACUUUGAA